GAUGAACUUCCGGUUUCAUCCCCUUGCUUUUUAAGUUCCCUCUGGGAACGCGCGGCCGCAGAGUUCUGCGUUCCGGCCGCCAUGGCCGCGGCGGGCGUUGGUGGGGAUGGAGGGGCCGGGCCAGGCAGAGCCCUGCAGACCGCGAUGAGGGCGGCGAGCGAGGCUUUGGAGAUGGACAGCGCAGGGAGGACGCGGGAAGCCUACGUGGAGUACCUGAAGAGCAUCACCCUCAUCUCACAGGCCCUGCAGGACGAGGCAGCGCUGACAGAGGGCAGCGAAGGGCUCGGCUCCAACACCCCCAAAAUGCUGAAGUUGGCAGAGCAGUGCCUGGAGAGAGUCAAGUCCUUGGCAGCCACGCUGGGGAAAAGCAAGGCCAAGCCGAGUGCACCGGGGGGGCCCGCACCCGUCUCCAGGCACCGCAGGGUUUUCUCGGAUGAGGGAGGCAAGCUGUCUCCCUUCCUGCCACCGGAGAUCUUCCAGAAGCUGCAGAUCGCUGAGGCACAGAGUGCGCGCAAGGAGCUGACACCACUGGAGGAGGCGUCGCUGCAGAACCAGAAGCUGAAGGCUGCUUACGAGGCGCGGGUGGCACGGCUCAACCCCAGCCAAGCCCUGCAGAAAACCUCGCUGACGCUGUCUCUACAGCGGCAGAUGAUGGAGAACCUGGUGAUCGCCAGGGCACGGGAGGAGACCCUGCAGCGGAAAAUGGAGGAGCGGCGGCUGCGGCUGCAGGAGGCAGCCAACAGGAGGUUCUCCAGCAGCGUGGCCCUAACCCCUGAGGAGCAGGAGCAGAGAGAGCUCUACGCUGCCAUCCUCGAGUAUGAACAGGACCAUGAUUGGCCACGGCAGUGGAAGGCCAGGCUGAAGAGGAGCCCAUCAGACCUGUCCCUGGUGACAGGACUCUUCUCCUGCCUCCUCAGCUUCCCUGAGCACCCCAUCGCCCAGCUCCUGCGCAAGCUGCAGUGUGCUGUGUACACUCGGCUGUACCCGGCCAUCAGCCAGAGCAACCCCGAGGCUGCCCCUGCAGCCCCCACCGGCCUCGCCUUCCUCUCACUGGAUGCAGGGGGGCUGCUGCCCGUGGAGCCAGGGGGCCGGCGGCUCCGAGCCUCCCGCAGCCUGCACUGCAUGUUCUCGGUGCCUGAGCAUGGCCCAGCUGCACUGCGACACAGCGUCUCUGGAGCGACCCUGACUGAUGGCAGCUCUGACUCCUCCAGGGCAGAAGGGGACUCCCGGUCUCCCCGGGAGAGCUCCUUUGAGGACCUGGAGCGGUUCCUGGCAUCGCCUGAGGACUGGCCCCCCGGGGAGACCAUGGCCGGGCCCAGGCCCGUGGCAUCGCUGCAGGAGCAGCUGAAGGGCAUCGUGCGGGACAUUCACAAUGCCAUUGACAGGCUGCUGUCCCUGACCCUGCUGGCCUUUGAGGGGUUGAGCACCGCCGCUGGCAAGGACCAGUGCCUGGCCUGCAUCGAGGACGCCUUCUUCCCCCCUCUCUGGGCCCCGCUGCUGGCCCUCUACAGGAGCGUGCACCGGCCCCAAGAGGAAGCCCUGGCUCGCAGCAUGGAGCGGCACCGCCACGCCAGCCCCGCCGACCUGGGGCUGCCCCCCCGGCUCUUCCCCGCUGUGCCCGGCCGCCUGCCCUAUGGUGCCACCAUCGAGGACCUGCGCCUCAUCCCCCUGGAGACGUGUCCCCGCAGGAAGCUGGACUGCAUCGUGCGAGCCCUGCGCAGCAUCUGUGAGUGCGCCGAGGAGUACUGCAGCGCCCGCGACAGCCGCAGCCCCGCUGCCGGCACCAUGGCUGAUGGGGCAACGUUCCCAUUGCCGUGGUGAUGGGGUCCGAGUGUUCCAUUGCCGUGGAGGUGGUGAGGCCGAUUGUCCCAUCGCCGUGGCAACGGGCCCGGGGUCCUUUAGCCAUGACAAUGGGGCCCAGCGCCCCGCCGCCAUGGUGACGGGCGCGAUGUUCCCGUUGCCACGGCGAUGGGGCCCCUGACGACGCACGCGGCAGCGGGGCGGAUGAGCUGCUGCCUCUCCUGUCCUAUGCGGUGCUGCGCAGCGCGCUGCCCCAGCUGCUGUCGGAGUGCGCUGCUCUGGAGGAGUUCAUCCACGAGGGGUGCCUGCUGGGCGAGGAGGGCUACUGCCUGACGUCGCUGCAGA